rnacentral:rRNA from 2 species
GACGAAGGAUCCAAGCGUUAUCCGGAUUCAUUGGGUUUAAAGGGUGCGUAGGCGGGUUUAUAAGUCAGUGGUGAAAGCCGAUCGCUUAACGAUCGAACUGCCAUUGAUACUGUAGACCUAGAGUAUAGAUGAUGUUGGCGGAAUAUGACAUGUAGCGGUGAAAUGCAUAGAUAUGUCAUAGAACACCGAUUGCGAAGGCAGCUGACAAAACUAUAACUGACGCUGAUGCACGAAAGUGCGGGGAUCAAACAGG